rnacentral:lncRNA from 1 species
GUUUUUAAUAUACAUACAAAACCCUGAAUGGUCAAUUUUUGUGUUGUAGAUGGAGACGAGAGAUCUGGACUUCUGAACGCCUAUCAGAAAAGAUAAAAUGUGCAAACCCUUCAGAACACUGGGGAGGUCAGGCUGAACUGCAGUGGGAGAGGAGAAGAGAUGCUGGCGUGAAGGGCCGGGGCAGAAGAUCAGGGAAAAACUCGGAUGAUCUGAAUGAUAGCAGUGACCACCAGCAACCUACAGAGCUGCCCGACCAGGAAAUUGUCAGACAGAAGCAACGCUUGCAGGCAAAGAAGGCUGAAGCAGGCCAAGGCAGGAAUGAAACAGUCAUAAAUGUUGGAGUGAAGCGACUGACCUCCCCGGUCCACACCCCAGCCCAGCGUCCUGCAUCUGCUGGAGGGUGGUAGACACCAUGUGGAGGAUGGGGACUUGGCAGUGGAGGAGAACAUGGAAGCAGGAUAUGGCAGUCCUCUAGCGUCCCAGCCACAAGUCCUCCGAAGAGUGUGGAUGACGAUGGUGACUUAGGUGCAUCCUUCGAAUGUCCUGAGGGGGAGACUGGAAAAGCAGACAUGCAAUUGUGGGAAGAAAUCAAAGGCAUAAAGAACUCACAGCACAAGUCCAAAGUCUGAUCAGCGAGCAGGCCUCUCUGCAGGGUGCAAGGGCACAGCUGGAGAGG